rnacentral:rRNA from 1 species
GACGAACGCUGGCGGCGUGCUUAACACAUGCAAGUCGAACGGAAAGGCCCUGCUUUUGUGGGGUGCCCGAGUGGCGAACGGGUGAGUAACACGUGAGUAACCUGCCCUUGACUUUGGGAUAACUUCAGGAAACUGGGGCUAAUACCGGAUAGGAGCUCCUGCUGCAUGGUGGGGGUUGGAAAGUUUCGGCGGUUGGGGAUGGACUCGCGGCUUAUCAGCUUGUUGGUGGGGUAGCGGCUUACCAAGGCUUUGACGGGUAGCCGGCCUGAGAGGGUGACCGGCCACAUUGGGACUGAGAUACGGCCCAGACUCCUACGGGAGGCAGCAGUGGGGAAUAUUGCACAAUGGGCGGAAGCCUGAUGCAGCAACGCCGCGUGCGGGAUGACGGCCUUCGGGUUGUAAACCGCUUUCGCCUGUGACGAAGCGUGAGUGACGGUAAUGGGUAAAGAAGCACCGGCUAACUACGUG